rnacentral:misc_RNA from 1 species
UAGAGCGCGUGAGUGGUGUUUGGUAUGUUGCGGGUGGUUGGAUGUCUGCAUGUGCAGCAACGUCCACCCGCGCACACCUCUUCAUUUGUGCGGACUGGCCGUUGUUUCGGCCUUGAGCAAUCGUUGGGUUUUCCUGUGUUGCCUUCCUGAUCGAUGGUAUCGUAUCGUUCUAUCGACGUCCCAUUUCAUCGUACGUCGCUCAUGUGGCGUGGGGUGAACCUUGCGGCGGCCUCUUUGAUCCAUCCUGUCGAUGUGUAUGCAUCAUGGGCAUGGCCCAUUGGGCGUUGCUUGGUUUCUUGGAUACGGAACCUUGUGUGGGUAACGGGGUCUGUACGACCCUCUGUUUGCCCUCGUCAAGCGUUCUCGCUUCUUCGAAACGACCGUCGGUCGCGUGUUGAUGCGCUCAUGCGUGGCGGACGUUGUCGAAGAGGAAUGCUACCUGGUUGAUCCUGCCAGUAGUCAUAUGCUUGUCUC